CACGUAGUUAGCCGUGGCUUGUUUUCAGGGUACCGUCUUCGUCUCUUCCCCUGUCAAAGAAGUUUACAACCCGAAAGCCUUCUUCCUUCACGCGGCGUUGCUGGGUCAGGCUUGCGCCCAUUGCCCAAUAUUCCCCACUGCUGCCUCCCGUAGGAGUCUGGGCCGUAUCUCAGUCCCAAUGUGGCCGGCCAACCUCUCAGUCCGGCUACUGAUCGUCGCCUUGGUGGGCCUUUACCUCACCAACUAGCUAAUCAGACGCGAGGCCAUCUCUCAGCGAUAAAUCUUUGAUAUCCAUGCCAUGCGACACAGAUAUGUCAUGCGGUAUUAGCAGCCGUUUCCAGCUGUUGUCCCCCACUGAAAGGCAGGUUCCUCACGCGUUACUCACCCGUCCGCCACUAGAUAGCUCAUUCCGUUGACCGAAUCUCCUUCCUGAGCAUCCCCGUUGACUUUGCAUGUGUUAAGCACGCCGCCAGCCGUUGUCCUGAGCCAGGA
rnacentral:rRNA from 1 species